rnacentral:tRNA from 2 species
AAAAAUUUAGUUAAACUAUAACGUUAGCUUGUCAAGCUAAAAUUAUUUUAAAAAAUAAUUUUUA